GUGGUUGUGGCUCAGAGGUAGAGUGCUCGCCUAGCAUGUGUGAGACACUGGGUUUGAUCCUCAGCACCACA
rnacentral:tRNA from 1 species